rnacentral:misc_RNA from 1 species
GGUGCGCAGGUCUUUGAUGGCCGGGUUCUGCUGCAUGAUGUGGCGCAUUUCGUGGUAGGCCAGAAUCAUGGUGUCUUCCAGGCCGGAACGCACCAGGGCAAUUUCGUCGGCGCCGCUGAUGAUGGCCUUUUUUUCGUUUUCGUUCAGGGAGCGGCCGGUGGUGGUUUCGAUGGUGU